AGAACGAACGCUGGCGGCAUGCCUAAUACAUGCAAGUCGAACGAACUCUUCGGAGUUAGUGGCGCACGGGUGCGUAACGCGUGGGAAUCUGCCCCUUGGUUCGGAAUAACAGUUGGAAACGACUGCUAAUACCGGAUGAUGACGAAAGUCCAAAGAUUUAUCGCAAGGGAUGAGCCGCGUAGGAUUAGCUAGUUGGUGAGG
rnacentral:rRNA from 1 species